UAGGGAAUCUUCGGCAGUGGGGGCAACCCUGACCGAGCAACGCCGCGUGAGUGAAGAAGGUUUUCGGAUCGUAAAGCUCUGUUGUAAGAGAAGAACGUGUGUGAGAGUGGAAAGUUCACACAGUGACGGUAACUUACCAGAAAGGGACGGCUAACUACGUGCCAGCAGC
rnacentral:rRNA from 1 species